UGGGGAAUUUUGGACAAUGGGCGAAAGCCUGAUCCAGCAAUGCCGCGUGUGUGAAGAAGGCCUUCGGGUUGUAAAGCACUUUUGUCCGGAAAGAAAUCCUUGGCUCUAAUACAGUCGGGGGAUGACGGUACCGGAAGAAUAAGCACCGGCUAACUACGUGCCAGCAGCCGCGGUAAUACGUAGGGUGCAAGCGUUAAUCGGAAUUACUGGGCGUAAAGCGUGCGCAGGCGGUUUGCUAAGACCGAUGUGAAAUCCCCGGGCUCAACCUGGGAACUGCAUUGGUGACUGGCAGGCUAGAGUAUGGCAGAGGGGGGUAGAAUUCCACGUGUAGCAGUGAAAUGCGUAGAGAUGUGGAGGAAUACGAUGGCGAAGGCAGCCCCCUGGGCCAAUACUGACGCUCAUGCACGAAAGCGUGGGGAGCAAAACAGGAUUAGAUACCCUGGUAGUCCACGCCCUAAACGAUGUCAACUAGUUGUUGGGGAUUCAUUUCCUUAGUAACGUAGCUAACGCGUGAAGUUGACCGCCUGGGGAGUACGGUCG
rnacentral:rRNA from 1 species